UGCUCUCUCCAAGAGCUCUCUGGAAGAGGGAGGGUUUAAAGCAUUGAUAUUUGGUGAGAUAUUGUUAAACUUAAGACAGACGAUAAGAAACGCACACAAUGAUACUCCAUUCUAUCAUUCUGCUUUCUGCCUUUGCAUAUGUAACAUAUGAAAAUGAAAUUAAACCAACCGAAACGGAGGAGUUUGCUGUCGAGGGUUCAAGUGUUACAUUAUCCUGCAGUUAUUCCUCUGCAUAUAUUCUUCACUGGUACCGUCAGUAUCCCGGAUCAGCUCCUGAAUUCCUUGUGCUCAUCUUAGACAGUGCAAAAGAAGCUAAGAAGUCUUAUGUAGAUUCCAGAUUCACUUCUGAGAUCAGAAAAGAACAACAAAGCCAUGUGAAUCUGGAGAUCUCCUCUGCUACUCUGAAAGACUCUGCUGUGUAUUACUGUGCUCUGGAGCCCACAGUCACAGGAAACACUAGAACACUGUACAAAAACCUGACACAACUAAAAGGCAUUUAUGCCUUCUACUUAACAGACUGAAACACAUAACAAUCAAAAGAAUCAUAUUCCCAAAUUGCCAAUUCAGACAUAUAGAACACAUUUAAAGUCCCAUG